ACGGAAGGCAGCAGUGGGGAAUAUUGCACAAUGGGGGAAACCCUGAUGCAGCGACGCCGCGUGAGUGAAGAAGUAUUUCGGUAUGUAAAGCUCUAUCAGCAGGGAAGAAAAUGACGGUACCUGACUAAGAAGCCCCGGCUAACUACGUGCCAGCAGCCGCGGUAAUACGUAGGGGGCAAGCGUUAUCCGGAUUUACUGGGUGUAAAGGGAGCGCAGACGGCUUUGCAAGUCUGAUGUGAAAGGCAGGGGCUCAACUCCUGGACUGCAUUGGAAACUGUAGGGCUAGAGUGUCGGAGAGGUAAGCGGAAUUCCUAGUGUAGCGGUGAAAUGCGUAGAUAUUAGGAGGAACACCAGUGGCGAAGGCGGCUUACUGGACGAUCACUGACGUUGAGGCUCGAAAGCGUGGGGAGCAAACAGGAUUAGAUACCCUGGUA
rnacentral:rRNA from 2 species